AAGUGAAAGUGAAAACCAGAGUGGGACAAGUGAAGAGGAAGUGAGCUUGCAUAAAUAGACAGACUCAAACACUCACAUGCAGAUCUCCAGCGAACAACACACAAGAGCGCAAUGGUGGCAUUUUAAGGAGAAGAAGACAGAAAGAGGGAACAGGUUUUUCAAGACUCCUCUAACUGCAGAUGAACCAAGAUAAAUAAACAAUAUUUUUCCCUUUCCUGGAAGGAGUGACGUCUAAAUCAAGUUAAUCCAAGGUCAGGACAGGACAGAAUGACUGGCACGACCACUGGCAUCAGCGACUGGGAUGGUAACGGAACCCAUAAUGCAGCUGGCCUUUGAUUGACAGCUGCAUAUUGAUUCCGUUUCCAUCACUCCUCGCAAAACGAGGACGUCAGGUGGUUGAUUGACAUGGCUUGGGUGGUGGAGUGUGUGUUGGAGACUCCAUCAUGGCUCUAACCUGAAGGAUACUGUUCUGGAAUGACACGUUUUCUCCCGGAUCGCCAGACUAAUGAUACGCCACCGGGAACUUCGUGUCAGCCAAGAAUGGCAUCCAUAUCCAUUAUCACAAAUUAUUUUGUGGUUUAUUGUUUGUCCAUUUUUGGCAUUAAGAUUACAUAUAUACCACAAUAUUGAAUGCUUGUAAUCUGGUGUACUGUACAGAUGUACAGUCUUUUAAAAUUAAAGUCAUUAUGUGUAACAACAAUUGAA